AGAGCAGGAAAAACUCAGCUCCAGUCUCCAAACUACUCUAUGGAACACAGCAGCAGUGCAACCCAGCCCUGCCUUCAGGGACACUGCUUCCCUGGGCAUGAACUUAGCACCUGGGAAGGGGACACCACCAUUUGCACUGAGUACUGUCAUCACUCUGAAUCACACUAUGGCAUCAGAAGAGAGUCCCUCUGAGAAACCUGCCUGUCUCCACAGGACCCUGGGGUGCACAAAGCCCCUUGGUGGCUGGGACCAAGUGUUAACCAUCUCCCUGCAGCAGAAGUUGUUCAGCCAGGUUUGUGGCUCUGUGAUCUACCCUCCCCCAAGGGUCUUUUCCAGAGGACAGCAGGAGGACAGAAGUGCACCAGGCUGCUGGCUCAGCCCAAAACAAGACUUAGCUCAUACAAGUUUGUUCCUGCUGGCCAAGGGCACCUGUUCCAGUCAUUCCACUCUUGGUCCCUCCUACAGUUUAGGUGAAAAGGCACAACAAAGGAUUCAGUCCUCAGCAGACAUCAAAGAUGAUUUCUGCUAUUCUGCCCUGAGCAUGUAAUCCAAGUUAUAAUUCAGAAUGCAAUAUAGAUGCUUUCAUUACUGCAAUGUGUGAACAAUAAUUUGACAUGCUAAGUUUAACCUUCUCUUUUUGUGCUCAUAUCCUAAUAUUUGCUUUUUCUUCAUAGUGAAACAUUAGUGAAGACUUCUUUGGGAAGAGAUGUGCAGCACCAAAAAGACCUCAGUGGCGGUGUCAAUGGAGGGUGGUAGAAAUACUUUUGGCAGUGUUGUCCUAGUUCUGUUCCCAUUUCCAGGCUAGUACAGGGGUUGUAUCCUGCUUCCAGCAGAUGCACUGUCCUGGUGCAACAUGGAAGGACUUGGAAACCCACAUGUGUUCAGAGGUGGCACCAAGGCAGUUUGUCAACAGCACAGAGAAGGGCUGUCAUGGUGAAAAGAGUGAUUUCAGAGAGGACAUGGCUCAAGGCUGGCAGGAGGCACAGUUCCUACAGCUCCUACCAGAAGCCUGUGAGCCACCACUGACCCAGAAACAGCAUUUCCCUUGGCAGGACCAAAAAGGCUGCUUGCCCCAGCACACCUGAUGGUGGGUUUGUCCUUAUGCACUACUGUUCUUUCUGCUCUGUGGCUGGAAAAAAACCUAGGCAUAAUUUGCCCACUGCUUUCCACCUGCUUGGGCAGCAGUUAACAACAAUCAUUAAUUAUUAAGGCUAGAUAAUAAUUCAGUCCCAAAUAUUGACAACUGUCAGUAUGUCUCACAGGACUAGAAUUAUAAGGAGUUUUUUUCAGUUUCUAGUUGAAGCGUGAAGAAAACAAAUUUCUCUUUUCCAUUUCAUUUUUCUACUGGUAGUGGGUUAUAAUUCAGGGCAAAAUGAGGAGAGAGGUUCAAUCAGGAAAUGUGACAAGUAUUCUGAGCACAGCUGGGUCUUGGCUUUGAGUCUAUCUUUAGUAUUAAACAGGCUUGAGCUUGUCUCCCACAAACCAUGUGGGUGGCUCUGGCUGUUCUGGGGCUGAAAUGGAGACAGUUGUUUGUCAUCGCUCCUGCUCUUCCAACACUUUCUCUGAUUCUUCCCAAAAUGAUUUGCCCAACACCAGACUAGCAGCCAGCUGCCUCUGAAGGGGACAUCCUUGUCCUGCCUAUCCAAAGCCAGCUGACUGCUUCUCCUGCUUCCCUUUGUGGCACACCGGCUAACCCUUCAGAGACCCAGCUCAAUCCCCUAAGCUGGUAGAAAACCAACCCUCCAAAAGUGGUGGGAAUGAUCUACUGGUGGAUUAGCAAACUGAUUCAAGUGCUCCAAGGGUUCUGUUUAAUUUAUGUUAGCUGUGUUUUAACAAGCUCAAGAAAGUCAAACCAAUGGAACAGUCCUUCCCUCAUGAAGGGGCACAGGAGAACUAAAAAGUCUAAAAAGUCUAAAGAGUCUAAAAAGUUGUUUGGUGAACAGCUCUCUCAGGACAAACUCAUGUAAAUAAAUUAAUUUUCUGGCUUGGAAACUUAUCACCAUCUACAAAUAUCAAUGCUAAGACCUAGUUACUAUAGUCCUUUCCUUUUUCCUGUCUAGAUAUCAGUAUUUCGUCAUAUUUUUGCCUUUUUCUUCUGUCUUCUGUUUUGGUGUUUCUCUCUUUUUAUUUUUACAUUUUUAUUUAAAAUGCAGAUGUCCCUUGGCACAAUGCAGUGAAAGAUUUAGCAACUAGAAUAAAUAAGGUAAAUAAUUACCCCAUCUAUUGUGUUUAUGUCAACUUUAUGUGAUAACCUUUAUUGUUCAUCUUCUGUAACAAAUCACUGUUAAUGUUCACUUUAGUAUUCCCCCUGUAUUGCUCACCACUUAAAUCUAAUUUAGUAUAUUCAGAUAAAAUAUCUAGGGAUGUUAGAGAAAAUGAUUAAUCAAUUAAUUGGAAAGAAGUGCAUUUGACUGUGGAGCCGCAUGAGUGAGCAAGUGGUUAGUCCGGUUACGUCAACUUUUGGUACUUGUCUUACUCUUUCCUGCAAGAGGAGGAAAACUGUUGGGAUGAGUUUGUGCUGCAUCUCCCAGAACAAAACUCUAGGCUGCCUGGCAUUCUAGGGUCAGUUUGGAGGCUCAGCUCAACCCAGGGUGGUAAAAUGCCUUUUACUCUCAGGAAUUGCUGCAGAACUGUACAAAAGUUAAACCAGAGAAUACUCCUGGGGAGGAAACACUGAUGGAGUCUUAGAGCUGAGGCAUGCUCCAGGCAGCUGUAGGCACUCAGACAGCCCUGUCUCACAGGUCCUGCUACAACCCUUGUGUCCCAUAAACCUGUCAAGCCACCAACAAGCAAUGUCACCACUCUGAAGUCUCCCCAUAAGAGCGCUCUUGAGGGACCAUGAGUUCUUUGGAGAAGUUCACUCAGGCUGAAGCUGCAUGAGAACAGCUCUAGCAGGUUUCAGCUUCUUCUUGCAGCUCAGUCUGAGAUAUUGCAAUGGAUGCCAUUACUCUCUUGGCUCUCUAUCACAGUCUUUAGGAUAUUUAUCUAUGCUACUCUUCUUAUUUCAAAGACGGCGAAUUAAAGCACUUCAGAAGUACAUAUACAAGUUAGAGGUGAGGUUGAUGGGAAUUGGAUGUCUGACACUUCUCUGGCCAUAAAAAUAGGAUUAUCCCACUCCUCAGUUACCCUUAGAAAUCUAGUCUGGACAAUCCAAAUUCCAAAUUUUGGACAUGUAAAUGCAUCACUCCUACCAUCCCACAGCUACAAUGUACCACAAAAGGCUGAUAGGUUUCCAUUAAGAGGCAUUUGUAAAGCUUCUUCAGAGCUCUGAAAUUAGAGUGUAAGGGUGCUAAAUUGGAAAGAACAUGAAUAUAUUUGUAAAUAGGAGAAAGGAUGACUUUUCAACUCACAUAGGAAAUUCAUGGCAAAACAAGGGCUCACAUGUGAGCAACCUGGUCUAGUGAAAGGUGUCCCUGCGUACCCACUGUAGGGGGCUUGUAACCUUAAGGUCCUUCCAACCAAUGCUAUUCUAUGAUUUUAUGAUCCCAUGAUCUACAGCUUGUAAGGAGCAGGUUAAUACCUUAAUUGCUGUAUUAUCAUCUCACUUCACUAGUGGAAGCACUUGGUGUAGAGCAUGGAAAAAUUAAAAACUUGUCAUAUUCCCUAAGGAAAAAUCCCCAUGCAAUUUAAUAAGGACAGAUACAAUUUUCAAUAACCUUUCAUGCUUUUAGGUAGAGGUUUAAUGGCUUACCCCAUUCCCAUCCACUCUGUAGGACUUUUCCAGAAUAAUUCCAAUAAUAACGCAACAGCAAUUGUACCAUGCAGCUGUAAAAUUACCAUUUAUAGUACAAAUAUAUAAUAAAUAAAAUAAACCAUAAGCAUACAAUGAAUUUAUAGGUUUUACUGCACUAUGGUGCACACGCAUCAAUAAAUCCUGAUAAUAAGGUUUUCAAAAGUGGAAUUUCAUUGGAAUUAUUUUAUAUCAUGCCAUAUAAUUAGUGUUAGAGACAAGGUUAUGUUUUGCAAGGAAGGGACAAAUAAAACUGUCAAAGUGUUAUUUUAAUAGUCCUAAACCUUUCAUGGAACAUUGUGGUACUAGUAAUAUUAUAAUA